rnacentral:rRNA from 1 species
GUCUUUUUGAGUUAUUUUUAAAGUCUGACCUGCCCACUGAAGUUAUUUAAAUGGCCGCAGUAUUCUAACUGUGCAAAGGUAGCAUAAUCAUUAGUCUUUUAAUUGAAGGCUGGUAUGAACGGUUGGACGAGGUAUAAGCUGUUUCAUAUAAAUUUAUAAUAGAAUUUUAUAUUUUAGUCAAAAAGCUAAAAUUUAAUUAAAAGACGAGAAGACCCUAUAAAUCUUUAUACUUUACAUUGUUUAAAUUUUUUAGAUUAAUUUUAUUUUUAUAAUUUAAAGUAUUUUGUUGGGGUGAUAUUAAAAUUUAAUGAACUUUUAAUUAUUUAGAAUCAUUAAUUUAUGAGUUAUUGAUCCAUUAGUAGUGAUUAUAAGAUUAAGUUACUUUAGGGAUAACAGCGUAAUUUUUUUGGAGAGUUCAUAUCGAUAAAAAAGUUUGCGACCUCGAUGUUGGAUUAAGAUAUAUUUUUAGGUGUAGCCGCUUAAAUGUGAAGUCUGUUCGACUUUUAAAUUCUU